rnacentral:rRNA from 1 species
GACAGAGGGUGCAAACGUUGUUCGGAAUUACUGGGCGUAAAGCGCGUGUAGGCGGUUUCGUAAGGCGGAUGUGAAAGCCCUCGGCUCAACCGGGGAAGUGCACCCGAAACUGCGGAACUAGAGUCUCGGAGAGGAUCGUGGAAUUCUCGGUGUAGAGGUGAAAUUCGUAGAUAUCGAGAGGAACACCGGUGGCGAAGGCGGCGAUCUGGACGGUGACUGACGCUGAGGCACGAAAGCGUGGGGAGCAAACAGG